GGUAAAAUGGCUGAGUCCAGGCAAUAAAUUGUAAAUUUAUUUACGAAUAAUGUAUUCUUUUACCA
rnacentral:tRNA from 1 species